rnacentral:rRNA from 1 species
UCCCUAGUACGGCGAGUGAAGCGGGAAGAGCUCAAAUUUGAAAUCUGGUAGCCUUCGGUUGCCCGAGUUGUAAUCUAGAGAAGUGUUUUCCGCGUUGGCCCAUGUACAAGUCCCUUGGAACAGGGCGUCAUAGAGGGUGAGAAUCCCGUCCUUGACAUGGACCCCCAAUGCUUUGUGAUACACUUUCAACGAGUCGAGUUGUUUGGGAAUGCAGCUCAAAAUGGGUGGUGAAUUCCAUCUAAAGCUAAAUAUUGGCGAGAGACCGAUAGCGAACAAGUACCGUGAGGGAAAGAUGAAAAGCACUUUGGAAAGAGAGUUAAACAGUACGUGAAAUUGUUGAAAGGGAAACGAUUGAAGUCAGUCAUGCUCUUUGGAUUAAGCCGUUCUGCGGUGUAUUUCAUUGAGCGGGGUCAACAUCAGUUUUGAUCGCUGGAAAAGGGCAGGAGGAAGGUAGCACUCUCGGGUGAACUUAUAGCCUCUUGUCGUAUACAGUGAUUGGGACUGAGGAACGCAGCAUGCCUUUUGGCCGGGAUUCGUCCACGUACAUGCUUAGGAUGUUGACAUAAUGGCUUUAAACGACCCGUCUUGAACCACGGGACACU